CCUCCUCCAUGUCAUUGAUACUCUUUCUGACAUCCUAUACUAUCUUGGGCUGUAAGAAUGUCUCACUUACCUUCUGUAGGUUUUAUGACUCCAGAAUUCACUGUGAGAAGUUAUUUUAAAGUUGUUUAAAGGUGAAUGGUGUAAGCGCUUUGAUGUGUGCUUUUAUACUCUGCCAUCUUGGCUCUGCCCCUAGAAGUCCUUCAUAUAUAACUUCUUACUGUUCUUUUCCAAGCUUCUUCAAGGUCUCAGAUUUAACGGUAGUCCAUACUUCAGCUUUACUGCACCUUCUUCCCAUGUGGUUCUCCAGGUUGUUUCAGGAGAGAGAAAUGUGCCUUAUAUUACUCCUGAAAUAUAAAUAUCUGGGAUUUCUUCUCUUCUGCCAUCCAUCAGGUGUAGCUACACUGGCUGCUUCUUCCAGGACAAGGGAGACAGAUCUUCACAUGAGCCCAUCUAGGAAAAAAGUUCUUCCCUUCCAGCAGGCUGCUUGGAGAAGACCUUGGAGACAUCAGCAGAGAACAGCCUGACGGGGAGGAAGGAGCAGCGGAGGGAGGACUCCAGCCCACUGAAGCAAGUAGUGCGCAGUCCAAUGAUGGCACCAGAGGACGGGAGGGACGGCUCCUCAAGGGAACCAGCAGCAACGUGGGAGGUGGUGAUUCUUGAAGGGAUACCACCUAAAGCAUGUGAGGUGACCAGGCUGGGCAUGUUUCCUGGGCACACGCAUGACCCUCCGUUCAUGUUCCCUGGCUAUACAUGUUCUGGUGUCCACCUGUGGGAGAGGCGGUGGGGAAGGGAAGACCUAUCUUGCAAUUACAUUGUUAUGCUGCCUAAUUAAAUAGCAGCACGAAUGUGCUCUCUGGUUGGCUGGCAGAAGAACCACAUCAUCUUCUGGGUGGCAUUUAUAUAGCACCUUAAGGUUUACAAAUUACUUUACAUAGAUUAUCUCCUUUGAGAUCCCAGGAAUCCAGGAAUAUUAUUAUCCUCUCUUUAGAUGAAGAAAUUGAGUUUGAGAAACUGACUCACCCAGAGCCCAUAGUUAAAUAAGUGUCCGAGGCAGGAUUUGAACCUGGGUCUUCCUGAGUCCAGGUCCAAUGCUCUAUGUUCCAGGUCUAGCACUGUCACCAUGAGUGGGUGUUCAUGACCCACAGUUUUGAGUGGAUACUAAUGCACAGUGUACCUCAAAGCUAUGGUUGCUUUCAGAUGGUACCAUGGUGGAAGGGGUCUGGGGGAAUCACAUGCUUGUCCCUCUAAAGGUGAUAUCUCUAUAAAAGAGAUUUUAACUGAGACUCAAAAAAAGCCAGGAAACAGAGAUAAUAAAUAUUAAUUAAAACUAAAAAUAAUACUAAAU
rnacentral:lncRNA from 1 species